GUGAGGAAUAUUGGACAAUGGGCGCAAGCCUGAUCCAGUCAUGCCGCGUGCAGGAAGACGCAUCUAUGGUGUGUAAACUGCUUUUGUACGGGAAGAAACACUCCCUCGUGAGGGAGCUUGACGGUACCGUAAGAAUAAGGAUCGGCUAACUCCGUGUCAGCAGCCGCGGUAAUACGGAGGAUCCAAGCGUUAUCCGGAAUCAUUGGGUUUAAAGGGUCCGUAGGCGGUUUAAUAAGUCAGUGGUGAAAGCCCAUCGCUCAACGAUGGAACGGCCAUUGAUACUGUUAGACUUGAAUUACAAGGAAGUAACUAGAAUAUGUAGUGUAGCGGUGAAAUGCUUAGAUAUUACAUGGAAUACCAAUUGCGAAGGCAGGUUACUACUUGUGGAUUGACGCUGAUGGACGAAAGCGUGGGGAGCGAACAGGAUUAGAUACCCCUGUAGUCC
rnacentral:rRNA from 1 species